CCAGACUUGGAACACUCAGGAAUACAGACAGACGUAGGAAUUGCUUAAAAACAAGAAGUUCUCCCACCCUUGUUGGAGCGAAUGCGCGAGUCUGACAGUGAACCUUUUGGGAAAGAGCCAGCAUUGUAACCGUGCUCGGUGACUUCUCUGGCUUUAUAGGGAACAGAUGUGAGGAUAGCAAGGGGCGCACACGUGAAAUGCCUGGCAGGUACCCCUUUGUGGCUCUACUUACUUCUUGCCAUUCCUCUGCCCUCCAAGUGUAGAGGGGACACCGUGGGCCUUGGCAGUCGCGUUCCGACUCCGGUCUGGUGUAUGGGUUGCACUCGGUCUCUCUGGCUAUUUUGUGUGUUCCGAUCUGACAGCCCACAUGCCUCUGCUGUACGCCUCGGCCACAGGACACAGAGCACUAAGAAGACAGAGAACAGCCCUGCAAAGCUAAUCUGCUCAACCUUCACCUACUGGGUUCAAUGAAUAUGAAAAGCUGCCUUCCUGAAACUUUUCCUUCAAAGAGGGAAUGAUCUCCUGGAAUUCAAGCUUCUACAAGGUGGCUACCUGGUGUUUUCCACUUUUGCCGUCUCCUAAAAAGCAUCAUUCAAGCCUUGCCCUUUCAACCCACUGAACACAUAAACAUGCUUUCUCCUUAACUGAACUUAUGGCCACGAUGAACUUGAACUCUGAGAUUCACAGAGGAGAGUUUGUUUUAACAGCUGCUUUUACAAUGAAGCCCUGGAGUUACUACUCUCAAGACCCCUGGUUCUGAUAGGCCAUCUUUUCACUGUCCUCUGCAUUUUCUAAUGCCCAGCUGUCAAGGAACACCCACUGAAGUUUUCCAAAACAAAGGCACGAAACACAAGAAAGGCAAGAGAAUGCUAAUCACCAGAUGCAUGGGCAUCCUAUGGGGGAACCCCUUACAUGUGGAAUACGGUUUUUCUCCCCAAUUUAUUUUUAUAAAUUUAUUGAUUUCUUUGCUAGUUUGUUAUUAAUUGUUAGAGAUGUCCUGUUGCCUGAGGUUGCCCUGUCCGAUAUGGUAGCCACCAGCGACAGGUAGCUAUUUAGAGUAAUUUAAAAAUUACAUUAAAAAUGCAGUUUCCUUGUCACUUAACCAUGUUUCAAGUGCUCAGUAUUAACCACAUGUGACUAGUGGCUUCCAUAAAGGAAGGCAAAAAUAGAGAACAUUUACAUCGCUGCAGAAAGCUACUAGAUUUUUUUGGCCAAGGCAUAAGCUCUUUCUCAUAAGAGAAAGGGGAUGCAGAUCUUGCUAAGAGUGAUGGAUUUCUGGGUUCAGCCUACAUGAGUCAUCUUCCAUACUACCCCUGGACAUGCUUUCCUUGGCUGCCAAUUUUCUAUUUUAUAAAUUUCAGGAAAGAGAGAUUAUGGUUGUUAAAACCAUUCAUGACAAUGAUCCCACUUUAGAGAAAACAACAGCAACAAGCAAAGAAGAUGGUGUGGAGAUCCGCACAUUCCACAUCUUUUAAUUGGUACCCAUUAAAUAACAAAGGGAAAAAGUACCCUCAGACCACAACUCUCCACCUUGUGUGGAGGCCAAGGACCCAGCAGGGAGAAGGCAGAAGAUUAGGUUCUCCACUCAUCCUGGCUCUCAGACCACUGAACUCACAUUUGGGUUCUAAUGGAAUGGUGAUUGGAAGCAUAUUCUCCAAUAGGAGGUUUUUAAAAGUUCUGUGCCAUCAGCCAGGCAGCAUCUGUCAUUUAAAAUGACUGGCCAGUUGCACGUUUAAAAGCAAAGAUAAAAUUGCUAAUUUAUACUUACUGAAUAAACAUCAGCAGUAUCCAUGAAGGUACCUACCCUAAUAGCAAGUUGUAUUUUUAUUUUUAUGGUGGUGGCGAAGCUGCCAGGAAAACCAAAGCAUCAGUUCUUUAAUUACAUUUGUUUAGUAUUGAUUUAAUACUAAAAUUUCUCUUGCUCCCUUAGAACAAAGAGCUCUAACUUGUACACUGCUGUAUCCUUAGCACCUGGAACAGUCCCUGGCCUACAAUAGGCACUUAGAAAGUAUUUGUUAAAAAUUGAUUUUUUUUUUUUAAAGAAACAACCCAGAGUUUUUUUAUUCUGCCCCAACCCCCAACCCCUGGCAUUAAAAUAAAUCUUCCUCAACUGCCAUCACUAAUCGCCAGGAUUCCCUCCUAGCCAAUUAUGCUUGGACUCAACCUCUACCUCCCACUCCACAUUCCAAAGUUUCUAUUUCUUUCCAUUCCAGAAGGGCAACUCCACAACAGGAGUGAGGGAGAGGACCUGGACUCCUCCUCAGAGUCCAAUAACACUCCUAACCCUGCUCCCCCAACCUGUGGACUUUUUAAAUCCAUGAAAAUAGAACCUGUCAAGCUACCACAAAAUAGCAUCAGAAGGCAGGAUCAGUCUUUCAUAGGCAUACAAUCUCUGUAAAUACUGAAAAAAGAUUAUUAAAAGCCUGCUAAGUUUUGUCUCCAGUGAAAUAGAUGCAGGCAAGUAUUUUGAUUGUUCUGAACACAUUAGAGAUGAGUGCUACACAGAACUAAGGUAAACUUUGUAAAUUCGUAUGUCAUAACACUUUGUUCCACAAAAAACUAUCUUAUUUUUUAUACUCCAUACUGAUACAGCCAAAUAAUGUGGCUCUUAUUUUCUAAAGAUGCCAGCAAUAUGUUUAAACAUGUCUUCAUUGUAGUAAAAGUAUCAUAUUUAUAAAAAAUACAUAUGCAUUUAAUGUGAUAUUCCUUAUAGUCAAAAUCUUGAUAUCAUCCUGUUAAUCUGGCUAAAAAUGUAUCUGUAAAAUGAAAGAGAGGAAUAUUUUGCCAUUCCCUAAACAACAGUUGUUUGAAGCUUUUGUAAUUGCUGGUUAUGGGAAUUUACCAAUAACAGGAAUGAAUUUGGAUUUUCUUUUGCUGGAAUCAAAUGGACAAUGUCAUAAUUAGCUAAAUAAUGUUGAGGCUAAAUGAAGUUUGAGUUUUAGGCACAUCCUUUAUGGAAUAUAAACAGGAACCUAAAAGUUCAUUCUGAACAUAGGUUGUUUCUUUCUGCCAAAACAAGAUUAAUAGUCAGUACCCUAACGACAAGGUCCUAUCACUGAAGUAGAUUAUCGGCUAGUCAAAUGGGUUCCUAACAGCACCUCCCUCAUGGGUUAAAACAAGAGGGUUAAUGUGAUGUGUAUUUGCUUAAUUUGGCUUGUUAUACAGUAAACACACAGCAAACGUUAGCUAUUGUUAUCUUCAUUUCCUUUGGAGAAGUUAUCUUAUUUCUCACCUUAUUAAAAAUAAACCCUAACUCAUACAGGGACCCUCCUUACCUUGGUCCUUUCACCCAUGAAUACCAUAAUAACCUAUACUGCAAAAAGGAGGCUCAGGAGGAGGAUGAGGUAUCAAUAGGCCUCCGGGUCAUUUUUAUGAUUUAGGUAUUUUUUGAAAAGGGUAGGCUCUCUUGAAACUUCCAAGGUAGUUGUUGUAGUAUUUUAUUUUCCUUUCAUAAGAAAUGCUUUCUGAAAUGUAUUGCAGUGAACAAAUAACAAAAUUGACAAAUGCUGUAAGCCUUUUACAGUUAUCUGAACACACAGAAUAAAGUGUAAUCAAAUUUGUGCACAUUAGGUUUGCUUUUUCCUGUACCUAGCUGUCUCUUAUGUGUUCAGAACCAUUUCUUCCAAUCACCUUUUUUUGUCUUCUGGCUAUAAUUUAUCAUUAUCUACAAAUUCAAUAAAUGGAGCAUGCA
rnacentral:lncRNA from 10 species